GUACGCACAAGAGAUCGGGAUAACACCUGGAAACAGAUGCUAAUACCGGAUAACAACAGAUGAUGCCUAUCAACUGUUUAAAAGAUGGUUCUGCUAUCACUCUUGGAUGGACCUGCGGUGCAUUAGCUAGUUGGUAGGGUAACGGCCUACCAAGGCGAUGAUGCAUAGCCGAGUUGAGAGACUGAUCGGCCACAUUGGGACUGAGACACGGCCCAAACUCCUACGGGAGGCAGCAGAA
rnacentral:rRNA from 1 species